rnacentral:lncRNA from 1 species
AAGAAUUGCAUACUAAUUAUCAAACAAUCAAUUUUUGUUAUAAACCCAACAUUUUACGUAUAUGAAUGAAUGAGUGUAUGUACUGACUCAUUGUAGCGGUGUCCGGGACAGAAGUUCCUCCGGUGGCACUAUCAUCGCCAACAAUCACCGUCUCGUCUUUGCCUUCUCCGAUCAAAGUAAUCUCAUGUUUAUGGAUUCUUACUUUCUCUUUGUAAACCCCUCUUUUCACGUAAAUUAUGAACCUGCCAUUUGCGUGGGCAGCCGUGACAGCCUCCAUCACGGUCCGGUAAUCUCCGGAUCCGUCUUUGGCGACUACCACGUGUGCUCUUGCUCUAC